CCCUUUAGCCACAGUCAAAAAGACAGGAGGAAAUGGAUGGAUAAAUGACCGGUCAGGGUCAUUUGGAGGAAACGGACGGUCAACGACCAGUCUGGAUGGAGUCAGUUUCUCAGAAGGGGAACUGUUGUUGCAGGCCCUCAAUGGCUUUGUGCUUGUGGUCACCACCGAAGGUUACGUGUUUUAUGCGUCUCCAACUAUACAGGACUACUUGGGCUUUCAUCAGGUGAGUUUGCUUUAAAACCUUUCUUUUAGGAAGUCCUGCUUUUUUAACAUUAGUUGUCUUGUCAUACGUCAAAAUUGUAUGUACUUUGUACAGUUUACGAAAAUAAACACAGUUUAAAUCGAUAUUCAUAUACCAGCCUCAAAAAAUGCUUGUCAUUUAAUUGACAAUUGAUAAAUCCAGCAUAGUUAUCAAAUCUAUUGACGAGUCAUUCACCUGGAAACAUUUGUAUCAUUCUUCAGUCAUUUGUUGGUUCGACUUUCCUCACCCUGGAGGAAGAG